rnacentral:rRNA from 1 species
UGGUGGAGUGAUUUGUCUGGUUAAUUCCGUUAACGAACGAGACCUCAGCCUACUAAUUAGUUUGCUUAAUCUUUUGAUUGUGUAAACUUCUUAGAGGGACUAUCGGAUAUUCAGCCGAUGGAAGUAUGAGGCAAUAACA